CAGGAUAAUGCUGAUAGUCAAAAAUACAUACAUUAAUAUGAAGAUAAUAAUAAAAGACCUGAGAUGUGGGACCUGGUGUAUCAGGUCAGUCUGAUUCUCUCAUGUUGUGGCAGGCAGAGACAAACUUUCCUGCAAUAAUGUCGCUUUUUUCAUUUCCCCUAAUAAUACUUUUAGUUUUCCACUCCCUCAUCAGUCCCAGUGUUUACAUGAUGGCACCGCAUGGCGUGUGUUUAAGCCUAAGCCCCGCCCCUCUUGGCCUGAGACGUGGUUCUGACGCGAUGACGUCACCACGUAAGUUGUUGGGUUGGAGACUUUGAUGGCGUCGAAGGCUCGGAGCUGGAGAGGGAUGCAGAAGAGAUGGCCUCGGCUCGGAUAUUAUGACUAAUGCCUAUUUGAUCGACGUUUACUUGCUGCUUACUAACUGCACGGGUUUCGGGUGAACCUUUGGCUUCUCAUCGGUCCUGCAGCUGAUUUCCAUGUCUUACGUGUAAGAGUUUCCAAACAGGAUCAUCAGGACUGCUCACUGUCCGUUACCGAUUGUCUGACUGGUCCCGGCCGUUCCUCGUUGGUUGACCCACUCCUUCACCGGCGCCAUGGAGGAGGAGGGCCAGCAGAGCUUGGAGUGCAUCCAGGCCAAUCAGAUCUUCCCCAAGAAGUCCCCCGUCCUGGAGGAGGAAAACAUGCAGGUGAGGAAGCUGCUGCUUAUCUCGUGCUCUCCCCAGUCAAC